UACAGAGGGUGCGAGCGUUAAUCGGAGUUACUGGGCGUAAAGAGCUCGUAGGUGGUUUGUCGCGUUGUUCGUGAAAACUCACAGCUCAACUGUGGGCGUGCGGGCGAUACGGGCAGACUAGAGUACUGCAGGGGAGACUGGAAUUCCUGGUGUAGCGGUGGAAUGCGCAGAUAUCAGGAGGAACACCGGUGGCGAAGGCGGGUCUCUGGGCAGUAACUGACGCUGAGGAGCGAAAGCGUGGGGAGCGAACAGG
rnacentral:rRNA from 1 species